UAUAUAAGUAAAUAAAUAUUAUUUACAUAUACACAUGUAUAUAUACAUAUAUAAACACAUACAUAUAUAAAAUAUAUACAUAUAUUAAGUAUAUACAUAUACACAUAUGUGUGUGAGUGUGUUGUGUGAGUGUGUGUGCAUGUGCAUGUGUGUGUGUGUAUCUGUGUGUAUGUGUGUGUAUCUGUGUGUGUAUGUGUGUAUGUGUGUAUUGUGUGUGUAUGUGUGUGUAUGUAUGUGUGUAUGUGUGUGUCUGUGUGUGUGUCUGUGUGUGUGUCUGAAUGUGUCUGUGUAUGUAUGUAUUUGUGUGUGUGUAUCUGUGUGUGUAUGUGUGUAUGUGUGUGUAUGUAUGUGUGUAUGUGUGUGUGUAUGUGUGUGUCUGUGUGUGUCUGAGUGUGUCUGUGUAUGUAUGUAUUUGUGUGUGUGUGUAUCUGUGUGUGUAUGUGUGUAUGUGUGUGUGUAUGUAUGUGUGUAUGUGUGUGUGUAUGUGUGUGUCUGUGUGUGUGUCUGAGUGUGUCUGUGUAUGUAUGUAUUUGUGUGUGUAUGUGUGUCUGUGUCUGUGUGUGCAUGUGUGUGUCUGUGUCUAUGUGUAUCUGUGUGUGUCUGUGUGUGUAUGUGUAUGUGUGUGUGUGUGUGUAUGUAUGUGUGUGUAUAAAACAAUGCUGAGCAGUAGCAUUCAUUCUCUUGUCCUCCUGAUUGUGGCUACAACGUGACCAGCUGUCUCCUGCUCCCACUGUGUUCCUUCCUCACCACGAAGACUGUACCCUCAAACUGUGAGCCAAAAACAAGCUCUUCCCCUUUGUUUGCUUUAGUCAAACAUCCAAUAACAGGGAUGAAAAGUCACUGACACACCACACACUGGGUAUGUCACUUGCCUCUCUGUGCUGUCAUGUCUGUGGUGCAGAGAGGCCACAGAGAGUGAAGUAAAACAGAAGCAAUCUCACUAAGGGUCUGGCUUCGAGAAGACAGCGCUCAGUAAGUACGGUUCCCAUAGAACCCCCGUGUGGUCCCCAGAAGCUCAGCUUUCCUCUUGGUCAUCACAGACUUGGACAGAGCAUCUUACAACAGUAUCCGCACAUCAUCUAGUCGAUGGGACGACACUGACUAAUGAAGGGGACUGUGUGUGCCAGACUCUCAGUGCUUCUCCGUGAUGGCUGUGUCUCUGAAUCCUUCUCCCUGGACCCAUCAGCACCCCCUCCAUCCUUCUACAAGUUGUCUGCAAGGAGAUGCUGCUCUUGCCUGUUUGCGCCUACCUGAUGAAUGGAUGAUGUCGGAAUGUACUCACCCCUAAAUCUACUUUAUAACCUCCUAAUGACGCUCAUUCGGUGUCUCUAACUUCUGUAAAAGGAAAAGAAUUUCGCUUCUGGCGGAGAUGGUACUCAGCCGCUGAUGGCGCUGAGGCCGUCCCCUGAGAAGACCCCUUCCCUUCUUUCCAUAAAUGCCUUCCCCAAGGCCUUGCUUGUCAUACCAGGGUGAGAUUCCUCCAAAGAAAUGCUGUUAUCCACAUCAGAUAUCAGCACAGAAUUCCCAACACCUCUGAGCCUCUUCAUGGCCCAGUCCUUUAGAGUCUACUUUGGCAGCAAACGGGAGUUUGAGCUGGUGUGUGGUACUAAGAGAGAGAGAGAGAGAGAGAGAGAGAGAGAGAGAGAGAGAGAGAGAGAGAGAGCGUCAGUGCUAUUGUUAGCUUUACCUGUGUAAACCAGUGUGUUCCCUCGAGUAACCACAAGAGCACUUGCUGUUAUAGGCGACGUCUGACCCCUCCCACAUACUCAGCUAAACCUUAUGGCUACUCAGGGAGACGUGGCCUGUGCUCACUGGAUGCUUCAAGAAGGUGCGGGAUGUCCCAGAACAUGAGGUGCCAGUGUCGGUGGGCUGGACAUAUCCCAGGUAUUGACUUUGCUCACCAGCAUGCUGGUGCCCUAGGAAGGACCUGGCUUUGAUCCAGCCCUCGCUGGAAAAGUCUGGACAUAAAAUAAGUACACCAGCUAAGGACAGUUUGGAAUAAGAUAAACAUUCAACAGCCCCUUAUCAACGGGACAUAAACAUCUAUGUUUCAGAAAGAAAACGAAAACACUUUUGGAAAGAAGACAGGUCCUGACUUUAUUCAAACAAUGCUAUCUGCCCAGAUAAGCAGGGAAAUAGGAUCCUACAGCUCUGCCUGCUGUGUGCUCUCUCCUACGCGUGCCGGAUCCCUUUAAACUCCGCCGGGAACAAUAAGUUGUUUUCUUUCCUUGUCUGCUCAUUUUAUGAUCUAGUUCUCAAGUAACUGAUUAUAUGUUGGACAUAAAAGUGAGAUAUUUAUUUUCAAAUGCGACUGCAUACUGCUGCUGACACAUUUACUAUCAGGGAGAUUGAAUUAUUUUUAAGGCUGCUGUUUUGAAAUGUCUCUUGUAUGUUGAACUUAUAUUGUGUUUCCUAUCGUGUCGAGCACUCAGAAAGUGUCAGGAGAUAGAAACCGGCUCAAGUCUGUUCCCGCUUCUGGAAGAACUUUUCUGCAUACACUGGCUAUAGAUGGGGAUGGAACCCGCCAGCCUCCCUUCACACAUCUCCUUCCAGAUUCUCCCCGGCUCGCUGAGAAACCUGUUCUCGUCGCUUCAGUCACACAGAUGGCAUGCUAACCGUGCUGGGACAGAGCGCACAGUGAGCAGACUUAACAAAGAGUGACACAAGGCAACAGAGGAACCCACAACGUCUUGCCUGGCACCAUCAUGACGGGACACACCAAGACCUGCUGGGUCUGCCGCCACGCAUCUGCAAUCUCAGCACCGGGAGACAGAGACAGGAGGAUCCUGGGGCUCACUGUCCUCUCACACAGCUGGAGCAGUGAGGUCCAGGGUCAGUGAGAGAUCAAAGAAGGAGCUGGGGAUCGAACCCAGGGCCUUGCGCUUGCUAGGCAAGUGCUCUACUGCUGAGCUAAAUCCUCAACCCCCAAAGAAAAUUCUUAGAUCUAAAAGAUUCAAAGGCCAAACAGCAGGAGAAAGAGAAGAAAAUGUGCCAGGGGCCCCAGCGCACCGCUUCCAUGAGCUAUUGACAAGCUGUGGCCUCCAGGGGAAGGGAAGCCAUUUUCUUUAGUAGUGUAGCUACUGGGGAAAACCAGGAGAGGAGUAUCGUGACAUCCUUCAGGACACCAUUGAGAAACAGAUGACCUUCAAGGCUUCAAACAGGGAUGACAUACAGGUCAUGCACAGAGAACUCCAAUGGGGUAUCAGGCUUCCCACUGUGGGUGAGACAGCUGAUUUAACUCCAGAGUGUCAAGCUGAGGGUGGGCACUUGGGGGGGGCACUGAUCUUUUAUAGAUAUUUAGAAUUCACUCACACACACGCACACACACUGAUUUUAGAACCUCCCAUGAAACAAAUGAAGACAGUGGGAGAGGCUGAAUGGGUCCAGAGCUAUUAGUGUGGUCCUCUGAUUUCAAAGAAGAAGUGAUAAUAGAAGCGUAAGGAGUCAGGAUGCAGCCCUGUGAUGCUAGCACUCGAGAAACUGAGAGAGGAAGAGCAGAAGUUCAAGGUCAUCUACAAGGUUAGCUAUAUAGUGAGUUCCUCAGGUACUAGUAAGGUUAAGUUAGAGAGCCUCAUGGCAUCCAGGAAGCAAUGAAAGAAACAGUGGCCAGGGAAAAGACACGCUUCUGGACAGCAAGCCUUCAACACUGGAAGCUCUGGAUGUUAGAAUAUUAUGGUUUGGAUAUGAAUCACAAACAUGUAUGUAUGUAUGUAUGUGUAUUGAUUUUAGAACAUGUCAUGACAAUAGAGGAUAUUGAAUGAGUCGAGAGUUACUAAUGCGGUCCCCUAGUUUCAAAGAGGGGAUGUCCCUCAAAAGGCUCAUACUGAAAGCUUGGUCCCAAGCUAGUUAGAGGAAGCAGUCACUGGGAAAUGACUUUUACCCUGAGGGCUCUGACCUCAUUAGUGGGUUGAUGGGUCCUCAGUCUGACAGUGUGAUUGAGAAGAGAGGCCUGAUCAGAGGAAAUAGGGUGGCAAUGGUGUGUCUUUGAUCGAUGCCUAGUCCUGGUUCCUUCCCCACCCCCCUCCCUCUCCCUCUCCCUUCCUGGCUCUUGUAAGGCAAGCAGCUUCCUCCACCACACCCAACUGCUGCCUGAUGUCCUGCCUCACUUCUGCCCCAAAGCAACUGGAGCCAACUGUGCAUGAACUGCAACCACGAGACAAAUAAAUCUGCCCUCCAUUUGCUGCUGUGUUGUUGUGUCCUGUUGGAAAAUGACCAAUACGGAGACACUCAAGAUGCCAACCGUAGCCAACACUUAAGACUGUUCAGAGGGCAGGAGAGAGCUAAGGGAGCUGCAAUUUCUGUUCUCCACUCAGAAUACCAGGGCAGAGGUCAAGCAGUUUAAAUAAGGAGAUGUACUCAAAAACAGAGAAGGCUAAUCAAGAGCUACACAAAAGACAAGGCACUUGGGGUCGAUGAGAUGGCUCAACAGUUAAGAGCACUGGAUGCUCUUCCAGAAGAUCCAGGUUCCAUUCCCAGUGCCCACAAGACAGGCUCAUGGCCGUCUGUACCUCUGCUCCUAGGGGAUCUGUGAUGGUUUGUCUAUGCUUGGCCCAGGGAGUAGCACUAUUAGAGUGGAUGUGGCCUUGUUAGAGUGGGUGUAGCUUUGUUGGAGUAGGUGUAGGUGUGGGCUUAAGACCCUCACCCUAGCUGCCUGGAAGUGAGUAUUCUGUUAGCCUUCAGAUGAAGAUGUAGAACUCUCACUUCCUCCAGCCCCACAUCUGACUGCCUGAAUGCUGUCAUGCUCCCACCUUGGGAUGGACUGAACCUCUGAAUCUGUAAGCCAGUUCCAAUAAAUGUUGUCCUUAUAAGAGUUGCCUUGGUCAUGGUGUCUGUUCACAGCAGUAAAACCCUAACUAAGACAGAAUCUGAUGCAUUUCUCUGGUCUCUACAGGCACUGGGGCCUGCAAGUGGCACACAGAUAUGCAUGCAGACAAAACACUUAUACAUAUAAAAAUAAAAAUAGGGGCUGGGGAUUUAGCUCAGUGGUAAAGCGCUUGCCUAGCAAGCACAAGGCCCUGGGUUCAGUCCCCAGCUCCGAAAAAAAGAAAAAAAAAUUUUAAAGGACUCAUUAAAAAAAAAACACAAGGAACCUACAAAAAAGUGAAAAGAAAAAUGAAAAAGAAAAUAGA